AACAUCAAAUCGCAGCUCCGAGCUUCAUAUAACCUGGUAUGAUUUGUAAUUUUUUUAUCGGGCGAAGCAUGUGUCGGGCAUAAGCGUAGAUUAAUAAGCACGUUGCUGGGCGCCUGACGUUGACAACUACAUGGGACGUUGGGAAUCAGUUGAGGCUACAUUU
rnacentral:snoRNA from 1 species